CGUAUAAGCCCAGAUGGCCUGAAGUAACUGAACAAUCACAAAAGAAGUGAAUAUGCCCUGCCCCACCUUAACUGAUGACAUUCCACCACAAAAGAAGUGUAAAUGGCCGGUCCUUGCCUUAAGUGAUGACAUUACCUUGUGAAAGUCCUUUUCCUAGCUCAUCCUGGCUCAAAAAGCACCCCCACUGAGCACCUUGCAACCCCCACUCCUGCCGGCCAGAGAACAAACCCCCUUUGACUGUAAUUUUCCUUUACCUACCCAAAUCCUAUAAAACAGCUCCACCCUUAUCUCCCUUCGCUGACUCUCUUUUUGGACUCAGCCCACCUGCACCCAGGUGAAAUAAACAGCUUUAUUGCUCACACAAAGCCUGUUUGGUGGUCUCUUCAUACAGACGUGCAUGAAAUUUGGUGCCGUGACUCAGAUGGGGGACCUUCCUUGGGAGAUCAAUCCCCUGUCCUCCUGUUCUUUGCUCCGUGAGAAAGAUCCACCUACCACCUCAGGUCCUCAGACCGACCAGCCCAAGAAACAUCUCACCAAUUUCAAAUCCGAUCUUCUUGGCUUAGCUGCUGAAGACUGACACUGCCCGAUGGCCUCGGAAGCCCUCUAGACCAUCACGGACGCCGAGCUUCGGGUAACUCUCACAGUGGAAGGACUUGCUCUGAGAGAACAUCAAUAGGUGUUCAUCUUGAAAAUAAAAUUAAGAAGACUGAAAUGUUACCUUACCACAAAAUGAUUAUUCUGACAAUGCUUUUGCCACAUUCGAGGUGAAAAUCAUGACAAGCGUCUAUGGUACUGCCAUUUUAAAAUAGUAAACUAGUAAAAAAAUAAUGAAUGAAUCUCACAGAACAACUUGAGGACCAGAAAAAUAAAAAUGUGAUGAUUAAAGUCUCAGGAAGAUAAACACAUAAGAUACAUUUCACUAAAGUCGAAGAAAAAUAAAAUUCAAGAAAAAUCUCUAAGAGACAACUUCUUGGAACUGGGAACCUCGAUUCUACAACUAAAGGAAGUGAAAAAUGCCAACAACCCUGUGAUCUUGGGAGGGCACCCAGGACUUCAGAUGAGACACCUUGAUUGCUGCCUUGGAAGACCCUGCCAGAAGAAUCGGUUAAGGAGAUCUGUCCAAUGAUGACAAUGAGGUGUUGAAUUCUUCAGCUAUUAUUGUAUUGAGGUAUUGAGCACUAAUGAGAGUGGACAUUCUUGGUCUCUUCCUGAACUUAGAGAGCAAGAAGGCACUUUAUUAAGG